UACGGAGGGUGCAAGCGUUAAUCGGAAUUAUUGGGCGUAAAGAGUUCGUAGGCGGUUUAUUAAGUCAGAGGUUAAAGACCGAGGCUCAACCUCGGGAGUGCCUUUGAUACUGGUAGGCUGGAGUACGGCAGAGGAAAGUGGAAUUCCAAGUGUAGCGGUGAAAUGCGUAGAUAUUUGGAGGAACACCAGUGGCGAAAGCGACUUUCUGGGCCGUUACUGACGCUGAGGAACGAAAGCGUGGGGAGCAAACAGG
rnacentral:misc_RNA from 1 species